rnacentral:rRNA from 1 species
AUACGGAGGAUCCGAGCGUUAUCCGGAUUUAUUGGGUUUAAAGGGAGCGUAGAUGGGUUGUUAAGUCAGUUGUGAAAGUUUGCGGCUCAACCGUAAAAUUGCAAUUGAUACUGGCAGCCUUGAGUACAGUUGAGGUAGGCGGAAUUCGUGGUGUAGCGGUGAAAUGCUUAGAUAUCACGAAGAACUCCGAUUGCGAAGGCAGCCUACUAAACUGCCACUGACAUUGAUGCUCGAAAGUGUGGGUAUCAAACAGGAUUAGAUACCCUGGUAGUCCACACGGUAAACGAUGAAUACUCGCUGUUUGCGAUAUACUGCAAGCGGCCAAGCGAAAGCGUUAAGUGAUCCACCUGGGGAGUACGCCGGCAACGGUGAAACUUAAAGGAAUUGACGGGG